ensembl:lncRNA
GCCUUCCUGGCGCGAGAGCCGGAUCCAGCGGGGCUGUGAGGAGAGGAGACGGCGGCGGCGGGAGACGGGAGGGGGGCGGACCGGAGCCGGGGACAGAGGAGGAACACGCCGCCGCGCCCUCUCCCUCUUCUGCCUCUCGCCUCGCCGACCUCACGGGGCUCCGCUCGGAGCAGGAGGAGACGCCGGGCCCUCGCCGGGGCGGAGGGCGCCCUGCAGCCCGGGCGCCCCGAAACGGAGGAUUCGCAGUGGAGGACCGCGCCGGGGCUGGAGCCCCCCGCGGCCCCGAAAUCGCCGGCUGCGCCAGGUGAAUUCUUUACCGCUGAGCCACGAAACGAGAUCCGUGGCCCCGAGGAAGUACAUUUCACGCUUUCGUUUCUGUUUCCUGGACUGAUGUGUGGUGGAUCCCCUCUGCCCAUCUCUCUUCAUCCAAAUAUGCUGUCACAGCCUCUUCAGUAAGGAGAUAUCACAGUUUGGUGCUUUGUUCUGCAUGUCGAAAAGUGUUUAACAAUAAAAAUUAUCAAAACUCUUGUCUUUCAUUGCUGAAAACCACAGCGUCUGUUUUCCCAAAAGAAAAUUGGACUUCCAUUGAUAUUAGUCUAGUCUGUACCACUCUAAUCCCUCGAUUCCUCCCAUCUAAUGUUAAUUACAGGGCUUAAAUGGAGAAGGUUGCUGGAGGGGGCAGGUGGGCAUAACACUGUCAGCACAGAGCCUCAUGGGGCUUCAAAAGGAGAGAUUUGAUCUUGGGCAAAUGUCAAGGCAGUUUUGAAAUCUGUGUUAUGAUAUCAGCUCACUGCCAGUGUAGGGCUUCAUCUGGAUUUCAUAAAUAUUGUAUGGGGCUCUCUCCCUGCCACCUUGGCCAGCUGGAGAAUACAACUGCCACCCCUCACCCCCACCCUGCCACACACACACACACGCACACACACACACACAAAACCAUCACAAUUGCAAUCUACUGUAGAGUUGUCAUGAAAAACCAAUUGGUGAUAUUUCAAUCACAAUGUUCCUGUAACAAAUUCCAUUCAGAUUCUGUUGGCAAGGGAGUUAAACCUUCGUCCUGCUGCUGGGAGAAUCUACGCUAAAUGUAGCUUCCUGGGGCCCUGG